UUUUGAAAACACGCAAAACAAGAGAGAGAAGCCAUUGAGCCGUCUCUCCAUCUCCCUUCUCUCUUCCUUCAACUCUAUUCCUCCUCUCUUCUUGAUGCCGGCUUCAGCGUGGGGAGGCGACAAAAGUGAUGCGCCGAUGCCGACGCUGACGUGGGGAGGCGACGCUGCUGUGAACGCACCGUCACGACCCAAUCUUAUAAAUUGUGGGUUGAUUUGUAGAUAAGAAGAUACGUUUAUCAUGAUGUAAUAAGGCUAGGGGAUGCUGAGAAAUUGAUGGAUUAUGGUCGUGUUCAAGUAAGUAGUGAUUAAUUGUGUGAUGAAAUGAAAAGAAUUGAAGCAAUAUUAUUCUUGUAAUGCGUUUCAUAAACUUUUUCUGCAGUCUGGUGGAAUCAUCCACAGGGAAAAAGGCAUUGGACCUCACUUUUCUGUUGUUGUGCUCGUCUUGUUGUCGUGUCUCGUUUUCUUGAUUUUGUUUGUCGGUAGCGGUUUGUUAAGCUCUUCUGCCACUGGUUAGUUGAUAUUGACUGGUUUGAUUACCACAUUAUGAUAGAUCUCAGGAAGAGUAUUUAUAUGAUAGUUUUAAGUUUUUACAUUUUAGAUUUUAGGCAUUUUUUGUAUUUGGGAUGAUUUGACCUAUUAGUGAGUCAAUAGUGAAAAAUGAUUUAAAAACAUGCAAAAUAUCUAGAUUUUGUAGAUAGCAUUGAUUAAUCACCUUCAUUUUGUUGAAGAAAUAAAGUGGUUGAAUAAUUAUAUAAUCUAAUUUUCUUAUUUCAUAUUAUAAAUGAAAUUCAACCGAAGAGGGAAUUGGGGCAAGAUGAAUGCUGAAUUCUAAAGAACUCAGUAUCAUUGAUAUUUGAUAUAGCUUGGAAGUACAGAGUUAGCUAAUAAUGCUUUGUAUUAGUUGGAAGCUUUCGUGAUCAAAUCUAAGAAAGGUGCCAAGGUCCAAAAUGUUUGUUAUUAUGUGGUACACAACCGUCUUUCCAUGAACAUUUAUGUAAUCAUGUAGAUGCCAAAUUGUAGAAGGAACUGACAGUAAUGCUCGUUUAGUAUAUAGAGUAGAGAAGUGAAGACAACUUGAGUUUUGGAGGUUGUCCAAUGUAACAUUGCUUUUACUAAUUUUUGGCAUUAGUUGGGUAGAUAUAUGUGUUUCAUUGGGAUAACCAGAUUUCAGCCUGCACAGGAUUUUGUCAUGUUCUUGCCAUUACGAGUUGCACCUUUAAUAAAUACCACAUCAAUUUGGUCCAAGAAUAGCAUUAUCAGAGCAGCCUGGCAUUUUCUUCUUUUUCUCUAAAUUUUCAAAUAGGGUCUGACUUAUGUGUCUUUGCUUUGCAAAUAUGUGGCUUUCCCUUUCACCAUCUUUUCUAUUUUUUUAAAAGAAAAAUGGGAAGGAAAGUAGAGAUAAAUGAUUUUCACUUCUUCUCUUUAGUACUUAGGCUUGAUCCACGUCGAGCUCUCUUCUUGUAAGUCCACCUUGUCUUCUGUUGUCCACCAUUUUCCUGAGUGGGUUGCACCACUUCUCUUUCUAAAGCCGUUAGUCUUUGGAGAUUGUUGACCACACCAAGCUUUUCACAGGUAAUAUUUCGUGGUCGUCACCGUCAUUAUAUGAUGUUAAUUGUAUCAUUGAUUUCUUCACUAAACAUUUUUGUUUUACAUGUUUACCAGUUUUGG
rnacentral:lncRNA from 1 species